GGGAGCUGUUAGGGCGGAAGGCCUCUCACAGGCCGAGGGGCAGAGGGACCCCAAGUGCAAGGUGUGGGGCUCCGAACCCCACUGAGACCCCUCCUGUGCGACACCCCGGCCCGCACUCCCGGUCCUUCUUGGGGUGUCCACCUUUGCGGAGAUAAACCCCCAGGGGCGUGUGGCUGGUGGAAGGAGACGGACCACAUCAGCUCAGAAGCGCUCCAGAGGAAAGGAAAGCAGAGCGCGGGGCAAAGGCUGAUUUCUGCGUACACAGGAAAAAACCAAGAGUGCUGCUUUCUGAAGACAAACCUUCCAGCGACAGAAAACAUGCUGGAAACAGAUGGCAUAAAACUGUGUAAGGAGCGGCCCAUUCUGCCUGGAACAUUUACUCCACGAGGCGCACCUCUCUCUCAGAGCAGGAGCAAGCGUCCCGUUCGCUGGCCUUCCUCCGGAGGACUCAGCAGGACGCGGUGCCAUCACACGGUGACAAGCUGGGCUGCUCCCCGCGCCCCCCGGCAACAGAGAUUAAAAGCCACAGGCUAGCAAAUGCAAAAUUUAUUUCAACUGUA